CAUGGUACGGUCGGAGCGAUGUAGGUGUUUCGUGGCGUAUUGUAGCAGCAAUCUAGCUAUUUUUGCUGCUAUUUAUGCUUAUGCUGUGUUGUGGCUAAUUCAUCGAUGCAAGCCAACCAGCAAGGUGUUUGCGAAGCCCACGGUGCUUUCUUCGUUCCGUGAUGUGAGCGUUUCUGGAACUUCUCUGCCAGCUGCGAUGCAGAGUCGUGUGAAGUGAUUUAAUAUUGGCACUGUCCGUGUUUUAAACUGCACAAAUAGCGAACAGCUGUUCCUCAAGACUGCUAUGCGCCGAAGUUUUCUCUAUCUCCAAAUUAUAAUAAAAGCUGCCCCGCGUCAUGGGCUUCGCUUGAAGUUGCUAUAAACACGAAGCGCACAAAUACUUCGGUUUCACAGCGUUCGCAAUGACCUAAGAUCUGGGUUGGUUCAUUCUGCAAGCAUCCUGAGACAUCAGCUUGCAUAAUCGAUGCUUGCUAGAGAUUAUGCGACAGCUGCCAUGCCGUAAUCAACUAAGUCAUUAUUCAUUUAUUUUUUUUUAAUUUCU